rnacentral:rRNA from 1 species
CAGUCGCCACGGUAAUACGUAGGUGGCAAGCGUUAUCCGGAAUUAUUGGGCGUAAAGCGCGCGUAGGCGGUUUUUUAAGUCUGAUGUGAAAGCCCACGGCUCAACCGUGGAGGGUCAUUGGAAACUGGAAAACUUGAGUGCAGAAGAGGAAAGUGGAAUUCCAUGUGUAGCGGUGAAAUGCGCAGAGAUAUGGAGGAACACCAGUGGCGAAGGCGACUUUCUGGUCUGUAACUGACGCUGAUGUGCGAAAGCGUGGGGAUCAAACAGGAUUAGAUACCCCUGUAGUCCCUGUCUCUUAUAU